rnacentral:rRNA from 1 species
AUUGAACGCUGGCGGCGUGCUUUACACAUGCAAGUCGAGCGGCAGCAUGACCUUCGGUCGAUGGCGAGCGGCGAACGGGUGAGUAAUACAUCGGAACGUACCUUUUAGUGGGGGAUAACGCAUCGAAAGAUGUGCUAAUACCGCAUAAUCUCUGAGGAGGAAAGGCGGGGAUCACGCAAGUGACCUGUCGCUGAAAGAGCGGCCGAUGGUCGAUUAGCUAGUUGGCGGGGUAAAAGCCACCAAGGCGAUGAUCGAUAGCGGGUCGUGAGAGGACGGAUCCGUCACACUGGGACUGAGACACGGCCCAGACUCCUACGGGAGGCAGCAGUGGGGAAGUUUUGGUACAAUGGGGGCGAACCCUGAUCCAGCAACGCCGCGUGAAUGAAGAAGGCCUUAGGGUUGUAAAGUUCUUUGUUCAGGGAAGAAAGUUUCUGUGCUAAUACCAUAGAACGAUGACGGUACCUGAAGAAUAAGCACCGGCUAACUACGUGCCAGCAG